rnacentral:rRNA from 1 species
CAUCCUACGGGAGGCAGCAGUGGGGAAUAUUGCACAAUGGGGGAAACCCUGAUGCAGCGACGCCGCGUUGGCGAAGAAGUAUUUCGGUAUGUAAAGCCCUAUCAGCAGGGAAGAAGAAAUGACGGUACCUGAGCAAGAAGCACCGGCUAAAUACGUGCCAGCAGCCGCGGUAAUACGUAUGGUGCAAGCGUUAUCCGGAUUUACUGGGUGUAAAGGGAGCGCGGGCGGCACGGCAAGCCUGAUGUGAAAGCCAGCGGCCCAACCG